UGGCCAUUUUUGGGUUUUUUCUGCACUUUAGCCUAAACUCUAAGUAGUCGUCCAUUAUCCCGUCCUCUUUCAGUCCCUGUUUCUGAUUUGUUCAUGUCUGGAGACGACAACUUUAACACUUUAAA